rnacentral:rRNA from 1 species
AUUGAACGCUGGCGGCCGGCCUAACACAUGCAAGUCGAACGAGUGGCGGACGGGUGAGUAAUGUCUGUGAAACUGCCUGAUGGAGGGGGAUAACUACUGGAAACGGUAGCUCAUACCGCGUACCAUCGGAUGUGACCAGAUGGGAUUAGCUAGUAGGUGGGGUAAAGGCUCAACUAGGCGACGAUCCCUAGCUGGUCUGAAAGGAUGACCAGCCACACUGGAACUGAGACACGGGCAGUACAUCGACGGGAGGCAGCAGUGGGGAAUAUUGAACAAUGGGCGCAAGCCUGAUGCAGCCAUGCCGCGUGUAUGAAGAAGGACUACGGGUUGUAAAGUAAUUUCAGCGGGUAGGCGUUACCCGCAGAAGAAGCACCGGCUAACUCGGUGACAGCAGCCGCGGUAAUUC